rnacentral:rRNA from 1 species
UGCUCUUCGGAGAGCCUGUAGUUAGGWGCUGCAUGGCUGUCGUCAGCUCGUGUCGUGAGAUGKUGGGUUARGUCCCGCAACGAGCGCAACCCCUAUCACUAGUUACCAGCGGGUCAUGCCGGGGACUGUAGUGAGACCGCCGAUAUUCAAAUCGGAGGAAGGUGGGGAUGACGUCAGGUCAUCAUGGCCCUUAUGUCCAGGGCUACACACGUGCUACAAUGGUCGGUACAAAGCGCUGCAAACCCGCGAGGGGGAGCCAAUCGCAAAAAACCGACCUCAGUACAGAUAAGAGUSUGCAACUCGACUCCUUGAAGUCGGAAUCGCUAGUAAUCGCUGAUCAGCAGGCAGCGGUGAAUACGUUCCCGGGCCUUGUACACACCGCCCGUCACACCAUGGGAGUCAUUWGCUCCAGAAGCGCCUGCGCCAACCGUAAGGAGGCAGGUUCCAAGGAUGAAUGUAA